AAUAAAUACAUAGAUGAAUGUCCAAUUAAAUUAUAGUCAUAAUUUUUAUUUUACUGUUAUGUCAUAAUAAAACAUGAGUAAAAACACUUGUCUAUACUACCGUGCUGAACCAAAUGUAUCACUUCAGUAUUAUUGACCACUGGAUUUACAGUUUAACUGGGCUACAUGCUGCCUUCAUGGGACUUAAUUGUAGAUCAGAUCAUGUUACUGACUAUUCAAGUCAUUUUAUCCAUUUGAGCUGAAUUACAUUAAAAAUUACAUUUUCAAUACCCAGAUUCCCCUAAAACAUCUACUUGCACAAACUUUGAUCAUAUUUAAAAUAAAUAACAAAGUAAUGAUAAACCACAACUAAUAGAUAAAAGCUAUUGCAGCCACAAUAACAAAUUAUAACAAAGAUAAAUUAUUAAUUCAGGGUCUUAGGCCUCGUUCAUUCUUUUGUCACGUGAUAGCAGCAUAGGCUAGUGCAGGAAACAGACAGAUAUGACUGUUUCAUCAGCAUUUAUUUUGGAAUUAUCAUUUAAUUAUCACAAACAAACAAACAACAACAAAAAAAACUGUCUAUCACAUAUUCACAAAUUCAAAGUGCAAGAAAUGAGAUCAGGAACGCGUCAUGUACUCACUUUAAGAGUAAAAGGAGUAAAACCAAACUAACGUUAUCUGAAUGUAUGCUGUCACGUCACGUCACGUGAACGAAAGAGACUCGGUGGUGAACUAAUCAACGUUAUUCACGAGAUAUUAAAUAAAAUAGUUAAAAACAAUGAACUAAUCUUUCUUGAUCUACUGGCCGUAGCAAAGUAUCCUAAGAAAAAUAUAAACAGCGCGAACAUAGCAAAUUACUAUGUCACGGUCACUUACAAUCAUCAUUCAGCCCAUUUCUCUACACAAACAUUAAUAUUUAAAAAAAUUCCUGAAAAUCCAGAGAUAGCAAAAGUUGAAAUGACUAAAUAACUUAUCUUCAAAUAGCCUUAUCUAUGUGUUUGCUAUUAUCACUAACUUUAAUAUCACAUAAAUACUCCAAUCAAAUAUAACGAAGCAAUCGCCAACAAAAAGACAUUGUUUAAAUUCAUUAUUUUUUAUGAAAUCUUACCUUGACUUUACUUUGUGCAGUUUUCCACCGUCAAUUCUCCAGCCGAUCCUCUCCACUGUUCCGUCUUUUGGGCGCCUUUUCCGCGCGCCUACUUUUAAAUUUAAAGGGCCGGAAAUAGGAAAAUUCGAACCAGUUUGAACUUUGAUUAAAAAAAUAUCUUAUCUCUAACAAAGUUAGCUGAAGCCUAUAACAUGAUUAAAAAAAAAAAAAAAAAAAAAAUGGCUUGAAAAGUUAAUAAUAUCAAAAUAACAUACAAUGUUCUCAUUGCAGUUUGUGCUGAUUUGUGCUGAUUUACCCAUUCAUAAUUUAAUUCAUCAAUUAAUGUUAUGACAGGCUAUUUUAUUCAUAAAUUAAAUAUUUUUAUUAAUGUUUGUUUUGUAAUGUUUUAUUUAUUUAUUAGUUUAUUCAUUCAUUUAUUUACUUAUUACAAUAUCAGGGUCACUUAAAGCAGUUUAUAAAAUGACACUGCCUGCAUACAUGACACUGCCUGCUUACAUUGUUAAUCCUGCAUUUCAUUCAACCAAUCAUAUUUGAGUGACAAGUUUACAGUUUAUGUCAAGUUUAUGCAUCAACCAGGGUUUUGUGCUGGUUAUCAUAUCCUGCUUUAAGGAUAAUGGGUUGGGUUAGGUUUAGGGGUAGCGUUAGGACUAACUUGCCCUUGUGAUCUUGUUACAAGAAAACAUGUGGACAUGUGAAAACAUGUGGACAGAGGAAUAUGUCCUGCUUGAAACCAUGGCAAAGAUUUUAACAUACAGCAGCUCAAAAUAUCUCUCUACCAAACAUUAAAAUGUAUGUUCCAAGACCAUAAAAACAGUUCACUAAUUUUAACUAUGUUGUCACGUUUCUUAAUCAGACACUCUACUUACAGUACAUGUACAGCAAAACUGACUGUAAAAGCUGUAAUAGUGCACGUCUGUGUUUCUGCUCUACAGUACACACACGCACACACACACACACAUUCUUGGACUGUCCAUAGGCGUAUGGUUUUUACACAAUACAGAGUGUAUAUUGUAUAUCCCCCUACCCUAGCCCUAAACCUACCCACCACACAAAACUUUCUGCAUGUUUUGAAUUUAAAAAAAAAAAAAAGUUUACUAUGUUUUUAAGCCAUUUGGUUUACGAUGACAAAGGAAGUGUCCUCAUAAACCAUGUUUACAUUGUAAUGCCUAUGUCAUUAUAGACAUUUGUGUCCUCAUAAACCACAUAUACCCGUACACACAAACACACACACACACACACACCAAUAAAGUUAUGUUAAAAAAAAAUAACAGGGCAGGCCGAUCCACAACUGAUAUAGCCGCCUUCUCCAGAUUAGCCUGUACAAUUAACAGUGUUGCAUCCUAUAUCAAAUUUCCUGAAAAAUAUUAAUGCUAUAUUUUCAGUUUCAUUUUUAGCUAUACAUCUAAAUUAACCCGUUUUCAAAGGUGCUCCUUCCAAAGCCAGAAGUGGCCUUGUUUUUUUUAUGAUAUUUAAAGCAUAUUUUCUGUGUCAACUGUACCGUAUAUUUACCAAAAGUGGCCCUAAUUGUUAUUAACUAUUAACUUGCUUACUGUUCUAUUUUGAGCUUACACCCUGGUUGGCCAGUGCUGACUGUGCCGUACAUUGGUCAAAUGUGGUCCAAAGUUGGAGUAAUGUAUUUGGGCCAUAUAUGUUAUGCCAUGUGUGGGCCACUUUAGGUUCACAUUCAGAAUCGCCAGUGAUUACUGUCCCAUAAAUUUGCCAAAACUGGCCCAGAUAUGUUUUAAGAUAACUGGGCCACAUUUGCUGCAUUAUAUGUGGGCCAGUUUAGGCUUAAACACUGAUUAGUCAGUGCUGACUGUGCCGUACAUUUGCCAAAUGUGGUCCAAAGCUGGAGUAAUGUAUUUGGGCCAUGUUUGUUAUGCCAUGUGUGGGCCACUUUAGGUUCACAUUCAGAUUUUCCAGUCGUUACUGUCCCUCAUCUUUGCCAAAACUGGCCCAGAUAUGUUUUAAGAUAACUGGGCCACAUUUGCUGCAUUAUAUGUGGGCCAGUUUAGGCUCACACCCUGGUUAGCCAGUGCUGACUGUGCCGUACAUUUGCCAAAUGUGGUCCAAAGUUGGAGUAAUGUAUUCGGGCCAUAUUUGCUAUGCUGUGUGUGGGCCACUUUAGGUUCACAUUCAGAAUCGCCAGUGAUUACUGUCCCAUAAGUUUGCCAAAACUGGCCCAGAUAUGUUUUAAGAUAACUGGGCCACAUUUGCUGCAUUUUAUUUGGGCCAGUUUAGACUCACACCCUGGUUAGCCAGUGCUGACUGUGCCGUACAUUGGCCAAAUGUGGUCCAAAGUUGAAGUAAUGUAUUCGGGCCAUAUUUGUUAUGCCAUGUGUUGGCCACUUUAGGUUCACAUUCAGAAUCGCCAGUGAUUACUGUCCCAUAAGUUUGCCAAAACUGGCCCAGAUAUGUUUUAAGAUAACUGGGCUACAUUUGCUGCAUUAUAUGUGGGCCAGUUUAGGCUCACACCCUGGUUAGCCAGUGGUGACUGUGCUGUACAUUUGCCAAAUGUGGUCCAAAGUUGGAGUAAUGUAUCCGGGCCAUAUUUACUAUGCUGUGUGUGGGCCACUUUAGGUUCACAUAAGAAGGCCUGCAGUGCCGCAUCAUUGCUUGAAGUGGCCCACAUCCGUUUGCUAUCUCGGGCUGGUAUGGAAAAAAAAACAAAAAGCAAGCUGCAGAAGAAUUAUCAGCUGCAAUGGUCAAUGUUUCUAAUUGGUAAAUAAAUUCAUGUUUACAUCUUAAUAUUAUUAAGACUGUAUGUAUGUUUUUAUCAGAGUCUGCAAAUAGAGAUCCAUAUCCAUAUGUUAUAGUAGCAGGAAGAAAAUUGUCAGUUGUCCAUGAGUAUAAAUACUUAUGCUUUAUACGUAAUAUAAAGCAUAAUAAUUGAUUCACAACUUACUUUUAAAAAACAAGUUUAAAAAGUUGGGAAUAAAAUUCAGUUAUCUGGUAAAUUUUAAACACAUCAGAAAUAAUUUAAAAACUGAGGCCUCAAAGUUAUAUAUUAAUGCCAUGAUCUUUUCACAUAUGAAUUACUGCCUUACCAGCUAGACGCAGACAGGUAGGACUACAUUACAAUAAAUAGAAAGACUCUAUAAGCAGGCUUUGAAAAUAUUGGAUAAAAGUUAUAAUUUAUAUCAUCAUUGUAACAAUUUAACUAAAUAUGAUUUUUUUUUUUUUUUUUUUUUUUUUAAAUUGAGAAAAUAUGAUUAAAUUUGCAGAUAUCUUAUAUACUUGUGUAUAAAUUUUUGAUUGUUAUGGCCCCACUUCCACUUAAUGAGUUUAUUAGACAAAAUCAUAACUCAUCUACAAGAGCAACUACUAGAGUGGAUUGUAUAAUACCACAUAGAAAAAAUGCUUUUGGGUAGUCAGCCUUUUCUUAUAGAGCUGCACAUACCUGGAAUACUGUACCCACACAAUUAAGAAAUAUUACAUAUUUUACUUAAUUUUCUGCAUGGAUAAAACAGUGGUUAUUGGAUAAUAAAUCAUGUCUUCAUAAUUUGGAGUAGUGGCUUGCUUCUGUCUCCUUAUAUUUAAAGUCAUUUUGUGUUAAUAUGCUCUGAUUAUGGCGAUGUUUGCUGGAAUAUGUUAUAUGUUUUUUCUUUUUCUUUUUUUUUUUUUUUUUUAGGUUUUAUGGACUUGUGGACUUUUCAUUACCAUUAACCUGCCAGGGACUACAGAUGAAAAUAAGCCUGUACGGCUAAAUCUGCCACAUUUACAUGAUGAACUUGAGUGCUCAUGCUAAUUAAUGUGCAUUGGCCAUUUUAAAAUAAAAUAAAGAAUAAAGAAUUUUUGCAAGCAGUGGUAUCAGGAUGUGUGGUUCACCUCCACAAUCAAAUAGAUUGGGAACAAAAUAGACUGGGACAGAGGAACUCAGAAGGGUUAUUUUUAUUAUAAUUAUAAGUAAAUACAUUGAUUCAAUUGUUGAAUCGGUUUUGACCAAUGCAUAUUAUCAAUAAAAAUGGACUAUAGUUUGGAGAAAUUAAAAAAUUAGUUGUGAGAAACUAUAAAAGUAAUAGCAAUGUAGUCAAGACACGUUUUUUUAUAUAGCGCUAUGCAUAUAUAGCUGUAUACAAUAUAGAUUGUUUCAAAGCAGCUUUACAGUGAUAAUCAGGGAAAUAACAAUUCAAUUCAAUGAUGCAAACAGAAUUCAACUGCUGUAAAGCAGCUCUAAAGAGACAUUAGUAAACAGCCAUUAUUCAGCUGAAAUCAGUUCAGUGUUGAUUCAUUUGGAUUCAAUAACUGUGUAAAGUACAUCAAUUAUGAAAUGAGUAGCAGCUCUGCAGAAAACAGUGAUAUCAAUGCAAUGAUCUAAUUCUGCAGUGAUCCAGUAGAUGGCAAUACUGAAUAGAUUCAGAGCAGCAAAUGAUUCUGGCCACUCUGAAUCUAUCCAAUAUUGCCAUCUGCUGGAUCAUUGUAGAACUACUGGGGGACACAUUAAUUAUUCAGCAAUAUUAGCUGAGACAAAAAAAAAAAAAAAAAGAUAUUAUGUUUAAAUCAAUCAUGCACAUCACAUUAUAUAUAUAUAUAUAUAUAUAUAUAUAUAUAUAUAUA